UAAUGCAGUCGACGAACUUCCGUUAAUUGAUUAUGACGUACUUGUACUGAUUGAGAUUUUAACACGAAGUGAGUGGCGAACGGGUGAGUAACACGUGGGUAACCUGCCCAGAAGUAGGGGAUAACACCUGGAAACAGAUGCUAAUACCGUAUAACAGAGAAAACCGCAUGGUUUUCUUUUAAAAGAUGGCUCUGCUAUCACUUCUGGAUGGACCCGCGGCGUAUUAGCUAGUUGGUGAGGUAAAGGCUCACCAAGGCAGUGAUACGUAGCCGACCUGAGAGGGUAAUCGGCCACAUUGGGACUGAGACACGGCCCAGACUCCUACGGGAGGCAGCAGUAGGGAAUCUUCCACAAUGGACGCAAGUCUGAUGGAGCAACGCCGCGUGAGUGAAGAAGGGUUUCGGCUCGUAAAGCUCUGUUGUUAAAGAAGAACGUGGGUAAGAGUAACUGUUUACCCAGUGACGGUAUUUAACCAGAAAGCCACGGCUAACUACGUGCCAGCAGCCGCGGUAAUACGUAGGUGGCAAGCGUUAUCCGGAUUUAUUGGGCGUAAAGCGAGCGCAGGCGGUCUUUUAAGUCUAAUGUGAAAGCCUUCGGCUCAACCGAAGAAGUGCAUUGGAAACUGGGAGACUUGAGUGCAGAAGAGG
rnacentral:rRNA from 1 species